CAAAAACAUUUUUCAAUGCCUUUAUAUUGAAUAAAGCCUGCUCCAUGUAAAAUAAAAAGCCGCAGAAUAUUUACUGUGCUAAGGUAGCAUAAUCACUUGUCUUUUAAUUAAAGACUAGAAUGAAAGGCACAACAAUCAAUUAACCUUAUUAAAUAUACACUCUUUAAUUUUCAAUAAAAAUUAAAAUAUUUUUAUAAUAGUAACAGACGACAAGACCCUAUUGAACUUCACUGCAGUUUAGCUGGGGAAGCUAAUUAAUAAUAAUCUUAACCUCCCUAUUUAAAUCGAUAACCCCACAAAGAAAUAAUUAAGUUACCAAAGGGAUAACAGCGUUAUAUUUUUUUAAAGCUCAUAUUAAUAAAUAAAUAUACGACCUCGAUGUUGAAUUAAUUUUACUUCUCUGUGCAAGAAUAGAAUAAGUAAGUCUGUUCGACUUUUAAAAAAUUACAUGAUCUGAGUUCAAACCGG
rnacentral:rRNA from 1 species